CUGAGCCGCGCCGUGCCCACCCCAGAGGGGCAGCGGCGGCGCCGGGCGCCCCGGGGAGACACUGUCGGUCUGCAAAAUGAUGAUUCCACGGAUUUUCAUUUUCUGUAGGAAACGUGAAGAUUUUGAGCUGAAGUAAGACAUUGGCAGAAAUCUCUUGAGAAUUUUGCCUUUUUCUCUUCAAAGGAUUAUGUUUACAAAAAAUUGAAAAUAUCAAGUGACGCUUUUUUGAAAUAAUUUUAAAAAAACAAAGCAUAAAGCUGUAUUUAUGCUCAGAGAAAACUGGAUUAACAAUGAGGCCAAAGACUUUUCCUGCUACGACAUAUUCUGGAAACAGCAGACAAAGGUUACAAGAGAUUCGAGAAGGUUUAAAGCAGCCAUCCAAAUCUUCAGGUCAGGGACUGCCUAUUGGACCAGGCAGUGAAACUUCUCUGGACCCUAAGAUUUUAAUAGGGAAGGAUGCUGCAAGGCAACAGCAGAUGAGACAAACGCCCAAGUUUGGACCAUAUCAGAAAGCUCUGCGGGAAAUUAGAUAUUCUUUGCUGCCCUUUGCUAAUGAGUCGAGCACCACAGCAGCUGUUGAAGUGAACAGGCAGAUGCUCCAGGAGCUGGUGAAUGCAGGUUGUGAUCAGCAAACUUUCCUUUGAGCAAUGGUGCCUUUUCUGGGUGAAGAUUUCUAGACGUGGUUUGUUUGGGCAGCUGUUUUUAAGAAAAAAAAAUCGUGUUUUAAGAUUUUUUAUAGGCUAUGUACCUCCAGUAACAUGCUAUCCACUGUACAACUAUGGAUAUGUG